UACGUAGGGUGCAAGCGUUGUCCGGAAUUAUUGGGCGUAAAGAGCUCGUAGGCGGUCUGUUGCGUCGGCUGUGAAAACCCGGGGCUCAACCCCGGGCCUGCAGCCGAUACGGGCAGACUAGAGUUCGGCAGGGGAGACUGGAAUUCCUGGUGUAGCGGUGAAAUGCGCAGAUAUCGGGAGGAACACCAAUGGCGAAGGCAGCUCGCUGGGACGGUACUGACGCUGAGACGGCGAAAGCGUGGGGAGCAAACAGG
rnacentral:rRNA from 1 species